UACGAGGGGGGCAAGCGUUGUUCGGAAUUAUUGGGCGUAAAGCGUGCGCAGGCGGUGAGUUAAGUCUGCUGUGAAAGCCCCGGGCUCAACCUGGGAAUGGCAGUGGAAACUGGCUCGCUGGAGUAUGGCAGAGGGGGGUGGAAUUCCGCGUGUAGCAGUGAAAUGCGUAGAGAUGCGGAGGAACACCGAUGGCGAAGGCAGCCCCCUGGGCCAAUACUGACGCUCAGGCACGAAAGCGUGGGGAGCAAACGGG
rnacentral:rRNA from 1 species